CAACUAAUAUGCUCUCAUUACCCCUCCAAAUUCCUUGCUUUAAAUAAACAUUAUACGCCACCUUCUUUGAACCCCAAAAUCCAUUAUUUUCUUCGAAGUUCUUGAAAGCAAAAUUUACUCCAUUCGGUCAACAUGACCUAACACAACCAUUUAUAUUAGUCGAGUAAAAGUUGCAUUUAUUGAAAACAAACAAACUUAGCACUCUUUUCCAACUCUCUCUAAGCAACCAAAAUCUUAGCAGAUGACAUUCACAAAACUAUUUCAAAGAAUAGUAGUGCUAACAACUCAAGAAAGGAACUAUUCCCCAACCAACACACAGAACCUAACAUAAAAAUAUAAUGUUCAAAAUAACCAAACAUAGAAAUCAUCCAUUCCAAUCCAAAACUCUCCCCAAAAAUAAAUAAAGUGAAACAAUUAAACUGAAACCAGAAGAAAAUAG
rnacentral:misc_RNA from 1 species